CUCCCCCGGGGCUCUGCGGUGACAAUCGGGCUCCCGCCGGCGCCUGGCGAAGUGGGCACGUCAGCUGCUGCGUACGCCUGUCCCCGGCCUGGGAAGGGUUUCUGGUCGCAGCGCUGCCUUCCUGUGCCAGCGGGGUGGCCGUUUGAGUCCUGCAGCGGGGACCUUGAGGGCUGGGGUGCGGCUUCUCCCCCAACACACUCUGCGCUGGGCGUGCGGUGGCUCUCCGUCCUCCCUCCCUCCGUUCCCAAGCCGGGGCGCCUGCUGGGCUGCGCGCUCCCUCGGAGGCCCCCUUGGGAACGCUUUUCCCCGGCAGAAGCCGGCCGGCGUCGCAUUUCGCCUCCCCCAGCGCAUCAGGGCUAAAGCCGGCCCGCCCUCGCGCGCCUGUGGGUGGCCCGUGGUGAGGGGCAGCUCGUCCAUCAGAGCUGUUUGCAAUGGUCGCGCUGGAGAAUUCGUAGUUAGCUCUGGUUUUUCACUCUUAGUCAUUACCUCAGCGAAGAAACUUCCAAACUCAGUGCUGGAAUGAGGUGACGUGUGGGAUCCAGUAUUGCUUUUGGUGGUAUACUUUGAACAUAACUCAGCUACCCUAAAUGAACUAAAGACUGGCAUAUUUUUAGGGGAACAUUAAGAAAUUGCUUUGUAUGUUUAAGGGGUAGAACAAGGUGAUGAGGAGCUUGUAAUAUGGGGACUAGUUAAAGAAACUAGCCUGGAGAUAGGGUACUACUCCCCCAUUUAUUACAAGGCGGAAAUGGCUCUACUUCUUCAUCUGUUAUCACUUAUCAGUAUCCUAUAGGCAUUUGAAUUUGCCAUCCAUGAUAUGGUCCUUAGAGACUCUGGAGGGAUUUAUUCAACAAAUAUUAGCACCUACUGCAUGCAGAUCACUGGAGAUACAGCAGGACAGAGAGGACAAGGUCUCCACGCAUAUGGGAGGAAUGAGGAGUAGCCACUGUGUUCUUGAGACUGUUGUAAAUAUUAGAUAUUUUAUAAAGAGUGUUGAUAGGGAAUGUUAGAUGAAAAAACCAACGCUCCACUCAAGAAAGUGAAAAGACAACCUCCGGAAGCUUCCAAAAUCUGCCUACUAGGCAUUUGGGGGGGAAAAAAGGACAUUUGAAGUUUGAUUAAGAAGCAGCCCUGCAACUGAACCAUCUAUCUCCUAAUGGCCACUACUUUGCUACAUAAAGAUCAAGCUUUGGAAUUACCCCACGUCUUUACUCCCUGCCAAAUUAAAUUCUUGUAGGUGUCAUCCUCCUCCUACCCUCUACUAAAUUAAAUUCUUGAUUAAGGUCUCACACUCCCACUGCUCCAGUACAAGAGAGGCUAUAUGAAGAUUUAUUAUCUUCUGAUAUAAGUAAUCCUCCGCUGCCAAGGAUAAGGGUGGGGUUGGGGAGGAGAUUUGCUUUUCCCGUUACAUAAAUAACAUAUUCUCAUAGAGAAGCCUUC
rnacentral:lncRNA from 1 species